GAUGAAGAACGUAGCGAAAUGCGAUAAGUAGUGUGAAUUGCAGAAUUCAGUGAAUCAUCGAAUCUUUGAACGCACAUUGCGCCUCCUGGUAUUCCAGGGAGCAUGCCUGUUCGAGCGUCAUUACAACCCUCAGGCCCCCGGGCCUGGCGUUGGGGAUCGGCGGAAGCCCCCUGCGGGCACAACGCCGUCCCCCAAAUACAGUGGCGGUCCCGCCGCAGCUUCCAUUGCGUAGUAGCUAACACCUCGCAACUGGAGAGCGGCGCGGCCACGCCGUAAAACACCCAACUUCUGAAUGUUGACCUCGAAUCAGGUAGGAAUACCCGCUGAACUUAAGCAUAUCAAUAAGCGGAGGA
rnacentral:misc_RNA from 1 species